AGAGUUUGAUCAUGGCUCAGAUUGAACGCUGGCGGCGUGCCUAACACAUGCAAGUCGAGCGGUAACAGGUGUAGCAAUACAUGCUGACGAGCGGCGAACGGGUGAGUAAUGCUUCGGAAUCUACCCUAUAGUGGGGAAUAACUAGCCGAAAGGUUAGCUAAUACCGCAUAAGUCCUACGGGAGAAAGCAGGGGAUCGCAAGACCUUGCGCUGAUGGAUGAGCCGAAGUCGGAUUAGCUAGUUGGUGAGGUAACGGCUCACCAAGGCGACGAUCCGUAGCUGGUCUGAGAGGACGACCAGCCACACUGGAACUGAGACACGGUCCAGACUCCUACGGGAGGCAGCAGUGGGGAAUAUUGGACAAUGGGGGAAACCCUGAUCCAGCGACGCCGCGUGUGUGAAGAAGGCCUGCGGGUUGUAAAGCACUUUUAGUGGGGAUGAAAGGUACUCGGCUAAUACCUGGGUACUCUGACCUAACCCACAGAAAAAGCACCGGCUAACUCUGUGCCAGCAGCCGCGGUAAUACAGAGGGUGCAAGCGUUAAUCGGAAUUACUGGGCGUAAAGCGUGCGCAGAUGGUUGCGUAAGUCAGAUGUGAAAGCCCCGGGCUCAACCUGGGAAUUGCAUUUGAGACUGCGUAGCUAGGGUGCGGAAGAGGGAAGCGGAAUUUCCGGUGUAGCGGUGAAAUGCGUAGAUAUCGGAAGGAACACCAGUGGCGAAAGCGGCUUCCUGGUCCAGCACCGACAUUCAGGCACGAAAGCGUGGGGAGCAAACAGGAUUAGAUACCCUAGUAGUCC
rnacentral:rRNA from 1 species